rnacentral:lncRNA from 1 species
UUCCCUUUCUCCAUAACAUCCAAACCAACCUUCAAUCAACCUAACUACCUUGAACUAACCCAACAACAAUCAAGCCCUUGGCUAACCUAGUGCUCACUUACCCAGCCAAUCACUAGUGAAAAAACCCAAACCCCUCUCCUAUGCUACUAUUGUCCUUAUUUUCUUGUCCUAAUAGACUCGUAGCCACUAAAUCACUACAAAAUUGUACCCCCCCUCAUCACACCUCUUAUAGCGACAACAAUUAGCAUUGUCUCCUAAUCUAUCAAAACAACUUGAAAAAAAU